CCCAACUGUCCAGCUGAAUCUGCGAGAAUAUUUCCUGCCAGUCGACUAGCACGCAAACAAGUCACCAUCGCCAAUUCGUUUUUAUUCUGCGAGCUAUAUGCACCAUUAGUACCUAAACUUGGCAUUCGGGUGCAUUUUAGUACCUAAAGUUGCAAAACGUGCGUUAGUGGUACCUAAUCUUGGUUUUGGGUUCAGUUAGGCACUAAUCGCGUCCAGAACGUGCCACGUAGGAUGUUGCAUAAUUGAUUUCUGGUCCUUCCACGAAUUCAUAGCUUUCCUUCUUAAUUAGGGGCAAUUUUGGGGGGUUAUUUUGCAAAACAGCAUGUCCAUGAUACGGCUGUAUUCUUUCCUUUUGUGGCCGGUUCUUCUCAGCGGAAACAGAGGAGCCGAAACCACCUCGAGGAUUCCGCGGCGAUCGUCCGUGUCGUCGUCUCUGCGGAGGCCCUGCCGGAGAUGAGGUUCCGCGAGUUCAAGGAGGACCCGCCGGAGUAUGUCAUCCUGGUCCGUGCUCUAGUGCACACCGGCCGCGUCCUCCCAAGAGGAGGAGCAGGAGCCCAUGUCGGUCAGGUCGCUGAUCUCAACCUCAGAGCUGCCGCUUGCCUGGCGCACGCCGGCAUCCUCCAAGCGGAGAAGAAGGAGUGGCCGUCCUGGUCGCCCGCCGUUGCGCCUGCUGCCUGCGUCGUCCAAAUUUAAUUUGCUGUUGCUGUACUGAAUAGGACAUCAAGUUGCCUGUACAUAUGUUCAUCUAUAUUUGUAGAACUGCAGUACUGCACAUAUUGUAAGGGCAAAAUAUUAUGUGUUUGCUCGAAUGUUAUAGAUAAAUGAGUGUUCAACAAUUGUUUUUCUUCCAGUAAACUUUGUGCAAGUUACUCCUGA